rnacentral:rRNA from 1 species
GCAAGUCGAACGGAAACGAUGGUAGCUUGCUUCCAGGCGUCGAGUGGCGGACGGGUGAGUAACGCGUGGGAAUCUGCCUUGUAGUGGGGGACAACACGAGGAAACUCGGGCUAAUACCGCAUACGCUCUACGGAGGAAAGCGGGGGAUCGUCGGACCUCGCGCUAUUAGAUGAGCCCGCGUGGGAUUAGCUAGUUGGUGGGGUAACGGCUCACCAAGGCAACGAUCCGUAACUGGUCUGAGAGGACGAUC